GUAUACAAAAUAUGUGUACUGCGCAUGCCAUAAGUGUAUAAUCUAUGGCGCAUGCGUCAGCCGUCAACUAUAAUGCCUAAACUUUCUACGCGGUUUUAAUCGUGAAAAAAAAACAAUUAUAAAUCCUGAAGGAUCGAUUAAUUGGUAUACAGUUUAAUUAAAAAAAUAAAUAAAUAAAAUAAUGUGCAUUCGCGUAAAGUUAGACCAAAUACAUUUUUUCCAUCCUCCUAUAUACCUAUCGCUAUGAAGGUAUAAAAAAGAUAGGUUAAGAGUUCACAUAGGUAAUAUAAACAAAUAAGUAAAUAUGUUCAUUAUUUAUCUUUCAAGAGAUAAUGUAGGUAUACAUUAUAAUAACAUUUUGACACAGUCGAAAUUAUAUUCCUAACAUUAGUAAUAUAACAUUUUAAUAUUUUUUUUAUAGGUUAUGUAUUGAAAUUGUUGGAAAAUUAUUUCAUGUUUUAGCUGGAAAACUACAUGGAGAAUUAUAUGCAAUACAAGAUAAUGAGCUCCAUUAAAUGAAUUCGAAUGAAACCAAACUGUUUACCAUCCAAAUUCGAUUGUCGGGCAGAUAGAAAACGAAAAUUCACUCAUAGUGAACCUCGGCCUGCAUUUGUGAAACGGCAAAGACUCACUAUUAUCAAGGAAAUUGAAGAGACGACUAAAAAUGAGAUGUGUCGUAUUAUUAUACCUUUGCCAUCUUGUAGUCAAGAUGUCCAGCCACUUGAAAAUAGGUGUAGUAAUGACAAAGCUAUCCAAGUAGCUCCAGCACAGGAACACAAAGGCAAGGCAAGUGUGUAUUGCCACAUCACCCCUUAAUAUAUCUGAAGCAAGUAUAAGUAAACAAUCAGAACCAGCAAAAAAAAAACUGUUGUUCCUGAGGACAAAUUUGACAGUGAUGAGUCAAAUGCACCAGCAACAGAAGGAUCAACUGUUGACUAUGAGUUAUCUCUCUAUAUCUCCACUCCAUCAAAGACUUGUGCACUUCAGACUAUAGCUCUCAAGAAGACUAAAAAGUUGAAAAAAUGAAUGUGUUAACAACUUUAUCUAAAGUGAAAAAUAAACAACGUUUAUAUAUUGGUCUUCCACAAGAAUUAUGUUUCAUAAUAGGCUUGAUUGAGAAACAUACAAAUGUUUCUGAACAAAAUAUUAUAUUAUGUCUGAUGAGAAUAACAUUAAAUAGAACAUUCUCUCAAUUGGCUGAUGAUUUCGAUUUAUCUGUAAGUCAAGCAAGCAAUAUAUAUAUAAUAUAUUUUUCAACAAACUCCCAGAAAUUGCAAAUGUAAUAUCACCCCUUGUUAGACUAUAAAAAAAACAAUACAAUAAAUAUAUAUGCAGGAAGGAUAAUUGAUGUCAACUUGGUGGAAAAUAGAAAGUUUUUAGAUAGUUUGCCACCUACAAAACUCUUUAAUUAAAUAACAAAGUAAUCCUUACUUAUAAAUAGGAAGUUUUGUAAGUAUUUUCACUCUUCAUUCAAAAACUACUGAACAGAUUUUAAUAAGACUUUUAUGCUGGUCUUCUAUGGCUAGCAACUCAUUAUUAUUUUGAUUCUGUUUUCCACAAAUGUGCUAAAUAUGGGCUUAUAUAUAUGAAAAGGAAUAAAUAUUAAUGUUAUGUAACCUUUGUACCUGUAUGUUAAGAAUAAUUUUUAAUAAAACUUAAUUUAAAUUGAAAUAUUAUUUUUAUUAAAUGACAUUCACUUUGUACACAUCAAUAUUUUGUACUCCCUAAAAGGAAAAUAGGUAUAAAGUUUUUUUUAAAUAUUUAACAUUACAUUUUUGUGUAAGAUUAGAAAAUUGUUAUUCUUCCAAAAAGAAACUACAUUAUCUAACAACUGUGCAACUUACUCGGAAUCAAAAUCAAUACCUACUAAUUAUAGUGACCUGAUUAGUUUUUUCAAAGUUGCUGGAUGCUACACAAAAGUAGCAAGUUUUACUUUUAGCACAAUACAUAUGCAUUUGAACUUGUCAGUGUGACCAGAUUUAGCAGAAUUCUGCGAUUUUAGCAGAAUUAGACCCCCAAUUUAAGGUUUAGCAGAUUGUGUUGCAGAUUUGAAAAUAAGGAAUUUUUUGGCUGAAUCUCAUAAAAACUUCGCAGAAUUGUAGCAGGAUUUGACAUCUAACUGUGUUUCAUAUUUAGUCAUUCGGGUAGUUGCGCUAAAAAUAUUUGAGGAAUUUUACCUUUGUAAAACAAUGUCAAGUUUUUCUUCCAACAAUGCCAGCACUCAAGCAAAUUUUAGGGGAUUCCCCGUUAAAUGUUUAGCUUUGAAGUUGUGUGUAGUGUUCAAUGAACACUGUUUACAUAUUUCCUAAAUAGUGGUCGACCAUCGUCACUCAGUUGUGUAAUACUCGUAAUUUGCAAUUUCUUGAUCCGCAAAACGGUUUAUACAAAGAAUUCACAAGUUUGGCCAGAACUGUUUCUAAAUUUCCUAAUUUGGUUAAAGAAUCUAACAUGCAAGCAAUUGACUCCGAAUAUCGGGAGGUUAAAUUAGACAAAACAGUAUCCAAACUGUUAGAAUCUGGAGGAAGUUCUAAUCCCACACCUAUGAGUUUGAACACAAAAAUGUUUUGGGGCCACAUUUCAAAAAUGACGAAGGCUGAUAGAACUAAGUAGUAUCCGCACUUGGUUGAUUUUGCAAAGGCCAUGAUGAUUUUGCCUAUGUCUAAUACAGCUUGUGAGCGCCUAUUUUCUCAAAUAAGCAACAUAAAAAACACUUGCGGAACAAAUUUAAAAAUGAACAUAUUGCAGCAAUUCUACAUGUCAAACAGGCAGUUAAAGAACAAGGUGGAUGCGUCAAUUUUACGCCAUCAAAAAAUAUGGUAAAGGCAGCACAAAGCCCGACAGUUCCAUAUAAAACAUGGGCGCCACAGAAAUUUUGAAGUUAUAAUUUGUUAAUAAAUAUUUGAAAUUGCCUUUUUUUGUUCUUUUAAAUCCUCGUAAAAAUGAUGACCUUAUCUAUUAGCAGAAUUUUGGAAUUAUUUAUAGAAACUAAGCAGAUUUUAGCAGAAUUUAUACGAGCAACUGGCAUAAUGUUCGAUUUAAAUCUGGUCACACUGGAACUUGUGCAUAAUAUCUUUCUUUAAUUUUUUUUUGCCUUUUUAUUUAUGGAAACAUAGCUUGCUUGUUUGUCACUUGCUUGUUUGUAGAUCUAUCAAAAAAACAUAAUUUAUGUUUUUUUUAGCACAGUGGGCAAUAACCUAUUAUUCAUAUUAAUUAUAUACGGCGCGGCGAUGCGAAAAUUCAUUACUGAAUUAUUUAAAAAUGAUAGGCAUAAUAUAAUAUUUUAAUUCGCGAUCUGUUUAUAAUUUUUAAUAUAUGAUUUAAAAAUAAGUUAUCUUUAAUAUUUUUAAUUUUGUGAUUUAUGGGGUGGUCACAGUCAUUAUUAUAAAAAUAGAAAUUUUGAGGAAAUAUAAAUGUUUAAUACAAAUUAUUUUAAUCGAAAUAAAUUCAUAUCAAUCCAAAUUCAUAUUUGAACUAUGAAAAUUGUAUGGUAUGUAAACAGAAAUAUAUUUUAUAAUUAUAAUGACUAUUUAUUCCAUGCAGUAUCGGUUAGAGAAGCUUGCACAGCUUCUCUAACCGACACUGCAACUAGAAUAAAGUCUAAUAAAGAAUAAGAAUAAACUUUUCUUCGAAGCUCAAUUCUACAAGGGUAUUCAAUCAGAUAGCUAUCUAUCUGUCGUUCCUGUAUGAAAUUUUGGUAUGUCGAAAUCUUGGAUAAAUCCAGCAAAGCUAAAUAAAGUAUUUACCUAAAAAAUA